UGGGAAUUUUGGACAAUGGGGGCAACCCUGAUCCAGCAAUGCCGCGUGUGUGAAGAAGGCCUUCGGGUUGUAAAGCACUUUUGUCCGGAAAGAAAUCGCCCUGGCUAAUAUCCGGGGUGGAUGACGGUACUGGAAGAAUAAGCACCGGCUAACUACGUGCCAGCAGCCGCGGUAAUACGUAGGGUGCGAGCGUUAAUCGGAAUUACUGGGCGUAAAGCGUGCGCAGGCGGUUGUGCAAGACAGAUGUGAAAUCCCCCGGGCUUAAACCUGGGAAUGGCAUUUGUGACUGCACGGCUAGAGUGUGUCAGAGGGGGGUAGAAUUCCACGUGUAGCAGUGAAAUGCGUAGAUAUGUGGAGGAACACCGAUGGCGAAGGCAGCCCCCUGGGAUAACACUGACGCUCAUGCACGAAAGCGUGGGGAGCAAACNGGAUUAAUACCCUGGUAGUCCACGCCCUAAANGAUGUCAACUAGUUGUCGGGUCUUAAUUGACUUGGUAACGCAGCUAAACGCGUGAAGUUGACCGCCUGGGGGAGUACGGUCGCAAGAUUAAAACUUAAAGAAUUGACGGGGG
rnacentral:rRNA from 1 species